AUUGAACGCUGGCGGCAGGCCUAACACAUGCAAGUCGAGCGAGCGGCGGACGGGUGAGUAAUGUCUGGGAAACUGCCUGAUGGAGGGGGAUAACUACUGGAAACGGUAGCUAAUACCGCAUACCAUCAGAUGUGCCCAGAUGGGAUUAGCUAGUAGGUGGGGUAACGGCUCACCUAGGCGACGAUCCCUAGCUGGUCUGAGAGGAUGACCAGCCAAGCUGGAACUGAGACACGUUCCGGACGCCUACGGGAGGCAGCAGGGGGGAAUAUUGCACAAUGGGAGCAAGCCUGAUGAAGCCAUGCCGGGUGUGUGAAGAAGGCCUUCGGGGUGUAAAGCACUUUCAGCGGGGAGGCGUUACCCGCAGAAGAAGCACCGGCUAACUCCGUGCCAGCAGCCGCGGUAAUA
rnacentral:rRNA from 1 species